GGAAUUUUCAUUCGUGCCUUAAAUUUGAAAAUUGCAUAACUAACAGGGACAAAGUUACUGGAAAUCUGAAACUCACUUGCUAAAUAAACCGAAGCAGCUAACGAACAUAAAGAUAAUAGAGGUUUUACGAAACAUGAAGCCCAUACUGCAGCCCAUGGCGUGACAUUCCUCCCCUUGCAAAUGCGCGACAAUCUCCUUGUGAUUCUUAGACUGCGCAAAAC
rnacentral:lncRNA from 1 species